CUGCUUAGAGCUCACACAUAUACUACAAUUGGAAUGAUACAGAGAAGAUUAGCAUAGCCCCUGUGCAAGAAUGACACACAAACUUAUGAUCUAAAGACAUAGGUC
ensembl:snRNA U6 U6 spliceosomal RNA